rnacentral:rRNA from 1 species
AGUGAACGCUGGCGGCGUGCUUAACACAUGCAAGUCGAACGAGAACGGAAUAUAGCUUGCUAUAUUUGUCAGCUAAGUGGCGCACGGGUGAGUAAUGUAUAGAUAACCUGCCCUUAAGAAAGGAAUAACAGUUGGAAGCGACUACUAAUGCCCUAUAUGCCUUUAAUACAUAAGUAUGCAAGGGAAACGCUUUAGUGCUUAAGGAUGGGUCUGUAUGGUAUCAGCUUGUUGGUGAGGUAAUGGCUCACCAAGGCUAUGACGCCUAACUGGUUUGAGAGGAUGACCAGUCACACUGGAACUGAGACACGGUCCAGACUCCUACGGGAGGCAGCAGUGGGGAAUAUUGCACAAUGGACGAAAGUCUGAUGCAGCAACGCCGCGUGGAGGAUGACACAUUUCGGUGCGUAAACUCCUUUUAUAUAGGAAGAUAAUGACGGUACUAUAUGAAUAAGCACCGGCUAACUCCGUGCCAGCCGCCGCCGUAA